GCAAGUUCCAGAGCCUUUUGA
rnacentral:miRNA from 1 species